AGCCAAAAAGUUGAGCCAGAAUCAAGUGGACCCAUGGGCUAGCCAAAAGGAGCUAGGGUAGAGCCAAAAGGUGCCAGACUCAGAUGGGCCACCCAAUGCAAUGCCAAGUGACAACUAUUCUUGUGAAGUUUGAGUCAAACCUAUUGGUACUUGAGGGGGAGUAUUGGACUAUGGUUUGUGGGAACAAAUCCCACAUCUGUGGU
rnacentral:misc_RNA from 1 species